UACGUAGGUGGCGAGCGUUGUCCGGAAUCAUUGGGCGUAAAGGGAGCGCAGGCGGGAAGGUAAGCCUGUCUUAAAAGUGCGGGGCUCAACCCCGUGAUGGGACAGGAACUAUCUUUCUUGAGUGCAGGAGAGGAAAGCGGAAUUCCCAGUGUAGCGGUGAAAUGCGUAGAUAUUGGGAGGAACACCAGUGGCGAAGGCGGCUUUCUGGACUGCAACUGACGCUGAGGCUCGAAAGCCAGGGGAGC
rnacentral:rRNA from 1 species